AGAGGGUGACCGGCCACACUGGGACUGAGACACGGCCCAGACUCCUACGGGAGGCAGCAGUGGGGAAUAUUGCACAAUGGGCGCAAGCCUGAUGCAGCAACGCCGCGUGAGGGACGACGGCCUUCGGGUUGUAAACCUCUUUUAGUAGGGAAGAAGCGAAAGUGACGGUACCUGCAGAAAAAGCACCGGCUAACUACGUGCCAGCAGCCGCGGUAAUACGUAGGGUGCAAGCGUUGUCCGGAAUUAUUGGGCGUAAAGAGCUCGUAGGCGGUCUGUCGCGUCUGCUGUGAAAACCCGAGGCUCAACCUCGGGCCUGCAGUGGGUACGGGCAGACUAGAGUGCGGUAGGGGAGAUUGGAAUUCCUGGUGUAGCGGUGGAAUGCGCAGAUAUCAGGAGGAACACCGAUGGCGAAGGCAGAUCUCUGGGCCGUAACUGGCGCUGAGGAGCGAAAGCGUGGGGAGCGAACAGGAUUAGAUACCCUGGUAGUCCACGCCGUAAACGUUGGGCGCUAGAUGUGGGGACCAUUCCACGGUUUCCGUGUCGCAGCUAACGCAUUAAGCGCCC
rnacentral:rRNA from 1 species